GGUUGUCCAAACUGUUUACAGGAUUAGACAGAUGCCACUACCCUUAUAUCUGGGGGCACCCGUCAUUUCUCCCAGCACCUGCCUCAUCAGCAGGGGUGCGGAGUGCGUGUUGAUGCACAAGUCAUUCUACGCGGAGCACGCACCCGAUCUCCUGCGUGCACAGCUGGCCUCCAACAGUUUUGAAUACCCGCACCCCGAGCUGGUUGCGCAUUACCUACACCAAGCUCAGUUCAACAGGCUCGUCCUAAAGGACCUGCUGCACAGGAUGUGCUACAAGAAUGGAUUUGCUCGUCGACGAUGAUAGUGAGACUUGUGGCAAGGGAGAUUAAACGUGCUACACAGGCGUCCACUGAGAUGCUGUAGCUGCUGCCCUGUUUCUCCUCACAACCCAGUGUCUGGUCAGCAUUACACUUGGAAUUGAACCUUCCUACCUUUGAACCUCCCAAAACCAAAUGCUGACGUUUUCAUCGAUUUUCACUAGUUAGGAGGCUGAUGAUAAUAGUAAAUAAUAAUGAAUCAUCUCCCUUUAAACAACAAUUAUAAAGUCGCACAACCUACUGCAAUCCAACCCUCGGAUUUUAAAUAUAUUGAUGUUUUGUUUAGUAUUGUC